UACCUGCCAUCGCCAGCCAAGUGUAACGAAUUCAAUGGGCUUCGGUUGUUACGUAAAAAUUAAAAAAUAUAUUGGCCCAAAUCAUGAACGAAAUCAAAUAACGCGAGAAAAGAAAUGUAUCCAGACCACGUCUGUGGACCGACUGCCCAAAUAGGUUGCGAAUCCCAACGCGUCGCCAGUGCCGCAUACAUACAUCCCAAAACAAGUCUCAUGCAUAUACAUACACACAGGCUCUGUAUUUGAAUCUCACACAAGCCCCUACCAUAGCUCAACGACCGAAUUGGACAGCCCGCGCAAAAUAGAUUCUACGAUCCAGUGGCAGUUGCGAGGUUAUAGCUACGGUGAAGCAAAAUAAGACACAGCUGGUAUCUCCUCCCCAUCGCUCUGAAUCUUGGCCGACUUAAGCUCAAACGAACACCUGAACAAGUACGACAUUCUGCACCAGAUCCUAUUGAAACUACCAUUUUGGAUAUGGUAAAAACCAAGGAGCAAAUGACUACCCCGAAUAUGAGCAA